AGCGAACGCUGGCGGCAGGCCCAACACAUGCAAGUCGAACGGACCCUUCGGGGUUAGUGGCGGACGGGUGAGUAACACGUGGGAACGUGCCUUUAGGUUCGGAAUAGCUCCUGGAAACGGGUGGUAAUGCCGAAUGUGCCCUUCGGGGGAAAGAUUUAUCGCCUUUAGAGCGGCCCGCGUCUGAUUAGCUAGUUUGUGAGAUCAUGGUUCAACAAGGCGACGAUAAGUAGCUGGGCUGAGGGGAUGACCAGGCACAGUGGGACUGAGACCCGGCCCAAACUCCUACAGGAGGCAGCAGUGGGGAAUCUUGCGCAAUGGGCGAAAGCCUGACGCAGCCAUGCCGCGUGGAUGAUGAAGGUCUUAGGAUUGUAAAAUCCUUUCACCGGUGAAGAUAAUGACUGUAGCCGGAGAAGAAGCCCCGGCUAACUUCGUGCCAGCAGCCGCGGUAACAC
rnacentral:rRNA from 1 species